rnacentral:rRNA from 1 species
UACGUAGGGUGCAAGCGUUGUCCGGAAUUAUUGGGCGUAAAGAGCUCGUAGGCGGUUUGUCGCGUCUGCUGUGAAAACCUAAGGCUCAACCUUGGGCUUGCAGUGGGUACGGGCAGACUAGAGUGCGGUAGGGGUGACUGGAAUUCCUGGUGUAGCGGUGGAAUGCGCAGAUAUCAGGAGGAACACCGAUGGCGAAGGCAGGUCACUGG